rfam:Hordeum vulgare subsp. vulgare, WGS project CAJW01000000 data, contig: morex_contig_1386662
GUCAGGAUAGCUCAGUUGGUAGAGCAGAGGACUGAAAAUCCUCGUGGCACCAGUUCAA